UGGUGGCGAUGCGACAUAUGGAAACACCCGUUCCCAUACCGAACACGAUGGUUAAGCGUAUGUCGGCCGAUGAUACUUGGUUGGAGACGACCUGGGAAAGUAGGUGGCUGCCAGAUU
rnacentral:rRNA from 1 species